rnacentral:snRNA from 1 species
GGAUGUGAGGGCUAUCUGAUUGCAUCAUCUGUCACCAUUGAUUGCCAGGAUUGAUUCAGCUGAUGGGCUGGCUAGAUGGGUGUCCCCUUCCUCACUUACUGCUCCAUGUGCAUCCCUCUCAAAGUUGCACACUGGGUUGAAGAGGAGGUUAUUCUCCCACAGAGGAGGACUGUUCUUCCAUCAAGAAUAUAUGAGUAACUGUGCUCCCCUGCUAGAACCUCCAAACAAGCUUAGCUUACUAUAAAACUAUAAUCAUCAAGACAGUGUGGUAUUAGUGAAAGAGUAGACAAAUGAAUGAGUAGAACAGAAUAGAGACUCUAGAAAUAAACUCAUGCAAAUAGAGUCACUUUAUCUUU